rnacentral:ncRNA from 2 species
UCAAGGCCGUCUGGAGAGCCGCUACGCCAUGUAGCGCACCGAAGGAGCAAGCCGCAGCCCAUGAGGGGCGGCGGUGAAUCUCUCAGGUACCAAGGACAGGGGGAGCGGC